rnacentral:misc_RNA from 1 species
GGGAGAGGUGAGGGCGAUAAGAGAUGAGAGAUACAUGUGGGCUAUGAUUAUGGUUUACUGCUAAUUUUGUGCUCUAGAAUUUCACAAAGUGAGGGGAGCAAAUAAACUCUAAAUAUUUUGUGCACUCGCUUGAAUGCAUGAUCUAAGUUGGCAUCACUAAGUUUAAUUUUUCACUAAUAUUAUGUGGGUUGAAUUCAUCUAAUUCAACUCAUAAAUUCAAAAUUAGAAGGUAAGUAGUCUAGUCCCCUUAGGUUUUUGAGUUUUGCUUUUCUUUUUUCCUCUUUCAAGAUCCAAAUUAAUGUAGUUGAUUCAUUAGGGCUUUCAAUGUAGUGAGCUGGAUCUUGCUCUCUCUCUCUCUCUCU